GGUCUUUUCACCACAUGCAGGGUCGUCUGGUCUUGGUGGCCGCCAGUCUACAGUAGAUGGAGUGAGAAACAAAGAGAGAGAGAGAACAUUUGGGCUGUAGACUAUAUGGGGAAUGCUUGUCUCCUCUCACGAGGCUGCAAUGGAAAAACCUAAACCACAGCCUUUGUUACUAUUUUUAGAACUUUUUGGGGGGUUAUUUUAUUAGGAUCCCCAUUAGCUCUUGCGAAAGCAGCAGCUACUCUUCCUGGGGUCCACACAAAACACGAAACAUGACAUAAUGCAGCACACAUUUAAAACGCCGCAGAUAGCCUACAUACCAGUACAUACACACAAAAGUAUUUUGCAAAUUAUGACAUUUUUUUGUUGAUGGUAUUAUUAUUAUUAUUAUCUCAUUAAGAAACUAUAUCAAGACUAUUUUAGAUGUACCUGUAUCUUGGCUAUAAGAGAUCUAAUAUGCGGACAAGCGUUUGUGCUUUCCAAUGCCCCUCCCUCUCCCUUGCCUUGGCCCACCCAUAGUUUGCACAACACCACCAUGCGGUCAAAUGUACACACACUUAUUCGGAGGAGCGCACACACACACGCAUCAGACCCACAGCUAUCUUAUGUCUUCCUGGUGCUUUUUUGUUUUCAUUGUGUUUAUCUGUUUUGUAUGAGCCCUUGCCUGCAGCUCUAGAUUCAUGAGCAGUUUCGGAGAGCAAGGCACUGAAAACUGAAUUAGGAAAUAGAGGAUUGGGGUAUUUCAUGUCAAAUACCACAACUUUAUAUAAGUGAGAUCUAUUGAAAACAUAAUGUAUGUUUUUGUCCAACCUUUUUAAAUAUAUAUCUGAAAAAAAAGAAUCGGUACUUUAUAACCGACUCGAACUACACUCACACGUCGAUAUUUACUGGAAUAACGUUUGAAGAUCCUACUUUUCCAUUGAGAUAUAGUUUUCUGCCAUUUUUGGUCUGAGGAUGUAUUCAUCAGCCAAUGGCCACAGUCCCAUGACAAUGUCCACAGUCCCAUGACAAUGGCCACACUUUGCACUCGCAUGUGUCUCCAUUGGUCUGUGAAUUUACUAAACGUUUUAUAAGGCACCACACAGGGGGAAAAAAACAGACUGAAACCUGGUGGAAACUCUCAUUUAUUUUUCCAUUGCAAAAUGUUUCGCUACGUUGUUCCCUAAUGAAUACAACCAUGGUGUAGGUAUAUCAGAUCAAUUGAAUAUAAUUCAGGUUUUGUGGUAAACGUAGACAGGACCACCAUUUGAGAACUGUCCCACUGGGCAAAAAGUGAUUGAGUUUUUAUUGUUUCCUUGUUAUUUCAGGAUGCUUUUAACAACGUUAUCAUGCUGCAUCAUUGUGGCUAUUUCAUUGAACAUUUCAAAAGUCUGUGGGUUUUAUAAAGUAGGUACUUCUAGCAACUCAAGCUUGUUGCGGCAGCAAUAUAAUUCAAAAUGGUUUCUCUCCCAAACUUCUGCCUCAACUUCCCUCUCUACAAUUCACCUUUUGGUGUUUUGGCAUCACAGUUAUUUAAUAUUGUAAAUGAGUUUGCACAGAUGCUGGUGUGUUUCACAUAUGGGACCACUACUCGGUAUGCAUGGGAAAGUUGUGGUUAGUUCCACCUCAAAUUCCAGUCACGUCAACCAUUAAUUCCAUUUCAAAUCUCUAUAGGAUAGCAAAUGAAACUAAGGCCAAUUUGGACUUGAGGUUAAGCAUCAAAUAACUUUGACUAAUGCCUGCUAAAUGACAGUGGUUGUAUUCGCCUAUUCUCCACACUGCACAUACCCAUGUAAAUGGUCUGUGAUUCACUGCACUGCAUAUUCAGUGCUACUGUAUGGCUUUUCCCACGUCACAGUUCCUGACCAGGCGGCCUAUUCAAAAGAGAUGGAGAAAGGAAAGGACAACUCGAGGAGACUCGAGGGAGGAUUAGGAGACUAGGAGAGGAAACUGCUUUAGACUAUUUCAGUAGCACUAUGUGAAACCAUGUUGGAAGCUCUUCUCCCCCCACACACACACACACUAUUACAGGUAAUAGUUUGCACUUCAUCUCAAUUGUCCAUGACAGUUUUGGAGGGAAGGAUUUCAUUCUUGAAUGUAGCAGAACACAUUGUUUGCAUUAAAGAUGUUUAACUAAGCACCCUGUCACACCACUGCCUACCAUUGUUGCAGUUUUCGUUUACUUUUUUUGUUAAAUAUCAUCCCCAGCUACCUAAAAAAAAAAAAAAUGAUUACAUCUCUUAUAGUACAUCUAUUUGUAAUUUCUUUGAUUAAUUUCUUUUUUGUUGGUCCUUUAACAAAAAAGAAAUGCAUUACCUUUCUGCCUGUGUGGUAUGUAUAUCCAUUUUUUUUAACUAGGCAAGUCAGUUAAGAACAAAUUCUUAUUUUCAAUGACAGCCUAGGAACAGUGGGUUAACUGCCUUGUUCAGGGGCAGAAUGACAGAUUUGUACCUUGUCAGCUCAGGGGUUUGAACUUGCAACCUUCCGGUUACUAGUCCAACUCUCUAACCACUUCGGCUACCCUGCCGCCCCGUACAGCCAUCAGGUGAUUCACUCUCUCAAGGGGCCUGUAAAUGUGGAAAAUGGAAUGAUUCCAGUCAAGUGAUUUAAAAAGUAGCCUAAUCGCUCAUCUAAUAAAACAUAUUAACCUUGUCAAAUGAAAAUAUUGGUAAUACAUUCUUUAUCUGGGUGUGAGAGAUCAAUACGUUUUGAAAUACAAUGGUAUUUAAUUCACCACUUGGGGACAUUUUGUUAGAGGGUACCUGUCAAAAGUUGGUGACUUUCAAAUGAUGAAACUCUGAUGAAGACCGCUUGCUGUCGAAAACAUUAGUAACUAAAUCAUAGCAUCGGAGCUACUAGAGUGUAGCUAGUGUAGCAUUUCCUUUUCUCUAAACAUAUUUUGCUUUCUCUAAAAGACUCCAAUGGUUGCGGGGAGACGCCAUGGGCGUGACCCAUAGGCACCCUAUUCCCUACAAAGUGAACCCGCUUUGAAAGUACUUUUCAAAAGUAAUGCACUGUUUUUAGGGAGUAGGGUGCAAUUUGAGACAACUUCUAUAAAAAAAGGCAGAGUGAACUGUAUACUACCAGUGAACAGCAUUUUCACAGUUGGUCAUUACAAAAAAAAAAAACAUUUCCAACAAGUACUGUUUAAAAAGAAUGUUUUUUUUUAUAGCUAAUUAAGACUUUUAGUGGUAGCCAGAUACUGGUUCAUUGUGUUUGUUUCUUGUUGUUUGACAAAACACUGAAGAAUGCAGUCUCCUCCCCCUUCUCACUAUCUCUCACACACUAUGACCAACUACUAAUGAAUGUUCUCUGUCCAAAUCCACGUGGUUUGCUACACAUGGCUAGGGCGUGCAGUAGUGACAGGGAACUCUACCUACAUCUUCACUAUAUGUCAGAGUCAAAACCAAUGACUUUUCUUCCAUUUCUCCUUCCCAUCCCCCCCAACAUGUUCUCCUGCACCAUAUUGCCGGCGACAAACACUACCUUUCCCUGCUCAUUAAUUAGUGGUUCCUCAGUUGUUCCAAUGGCUCAGUCUGUUGAAGAUGGUGCUCGCAACACCCGGGUCACCACAUGGGACAUAUACAAUGUGUUCGCUUGAAUAAAAACGACAUUCACUUUUUUUUUUUAACUUAAGUCAUUCCAACCAUAUGCCUGGUUGCUUGUCAGCUAGUUGCUCCAUUUCUCGUUUCUCAUUUGGGGGUUAUUUUUCUCCCCACCACCACAGUGACAGAAUAGCCUGAGCAUCAGGCUUUGCAUUGGAAAGGCCUGGCUUUUAUUGGCCAUCAUCCCCCCUCCUGGGAAAAGGUCGGUCUUGAUUGCAGCCCAUUGUUUGCUGUUGUGUGUUUGCCUGAAUUGCUGAUGGCCCCCUUUGCUCUGCUCAGUAAACGGCGGGGUGUCAAUGGCUCUGCUCCCUCUCUGUGAAUAAGUCAUCUCCAGGCUUUGUGUAACAAUCACUUGUCAUUGGUGAUUUGAUCAUUUACCAGGAAGGGGGUUGGGUGUGUCUGACAAGUUGUGUUCUUGGUUUGCUCUUGUGACCAAUGUAGUUAGACGUGGGUAUUUGUUUUUCAUGCUUAUUCUGGACCAUUCCAACUCGUUUCUCUGGUGUUUUGUAAUCCAGUGCCUUGGACUUGGAUGCAUUCUGUUAUAACAUGAGGCUCCCGAGUGGCGCGGUGGUCUAAGGCACUGUAUCGCAGUGCAAGAUGCAUCACUGCAGGAGCUGGUUUGAAUUCAGGCUACACCACAUUGGGAGUCCCAUAGGGCGGUGCACAGUUGGCCCAGGGUCGUCCGGGUUUGGCUGGGGUAGGCCGUCAUUGUAAAUAUAAUUUGUCCUCAACUGACUUGCCUAGUUAAAUAAAGGUAAUUUAAAAAAAAGAUAACAACAUAUUGGUAAGAUGAGGGCAGUGGAAGGUAGGCCAAGAAAGAAAACAAGUAGGCGGCCAGUACGAUACAGAACAUUUUUACAACGAAUACAUACUGUAUAAGGAGCAGAUCGGCCUAUAGUGUAUAUAACAUCAGAACGCACGACUGCAACGCAUUUUGACUAAAAGAGUCUUCUUCAGGCAGGGGGAACAUAGGGGUAACAAGUGUUAUUUGUACCACUAUAUGAGAGCCUGCUAGAUUGCGCAAAGCAAUUUAUAUUGUAAGUCGAUAACAGGGUAAUGGUCAUAUGAAGAAAAUAAUGAAACUGACUAUCAAUACUGAUAAGAAUGGAUGUCCCCCCCGCUAUCACUUCACUUGGGCUCCGGCGGGCCCCUUCUGGCCUUCCAAAACCACUUCCAGACACCCGUUUUCCAAGGUGGUUUCCCAUCCAAGCACUAAUCAGGGAUAAUCCUGUUAGUUUCAGAGGAAAGACAACUGAGAUCUGUCAACACUGCCAGCUUUAUUUUGAUUUGAGUCAGUUCCUGACAGGAAUUGAAAUAAUGUAAUAUGCAUAUGGUGAGUGUGAGUGAGUGA
ensembl:lncRNA